rnacentral:lncRNA from 1 species
CGCGGAGCCGAUUUGCUCGAGUUCCGGCGGAUCAAUAUCCGCCCCUCGCGCAGACGUGCGCGUCGCCGCAUGAGGCUCAUCAGCUGCGUCCAAAACACCGAGCGCUCGCCGGAUCACACUGGUGUUGAAAAUGUAGUCUCCGCUCUUCCUCUUUUAUUUAGUCACUGAUUUUAUUACAUAUUUUUUCGUUACAAAUGAGCGCGCUGACGUGACGACUUCUGGAGGGAAGAGUCGAAAAUGUGCCAGCGCUUGAGCGAUUGGAAUUAUGGCCAGUCUUCCAGUCCUCGGACACAAACGCAACCACAUUUGCGGCACCGCGAUCAUCCAGGUCGGAUGCCGACUGUGGAACGUAAGUGUGAUAAGUGUCCUCUUCCUGACCAUCUGCAAUAUAAUAAUCACGGUUCGGCUCUUCAACGCCACCUACCGGUGCUCCGUGGAAAACAGCCGCGCAAACACUCUUUCUUCCCAGAAUCUAGAUAUCUUCCUCGACCCACACUCUCCACUUCCACUUCCAGAUCUGAGUUCUUCCAGACGGCGGCAUCGGCGACGGGGUCGGCUCCGGGCUUGGGGUCUGUAGCAGGGGUCUUCCAUGUGAGUCUGGAGCUGGGCCGAUGGGACGAGUCGCGCAAGUACAAGAUGCUGGACGCGGCGCUCGUCGGCGAGAAGUACAUCAACGCCUCGAGCUCCUUCAGCGUGUGCCUCGCCACCCAGAGUUCCGUCGAGAAGCUAGGCUCCCUCCCCAGGUCGCUCAUCACUGGAGCGGGCCCAUGUCCGUCGCACUCUUCGCCGCCGGUGAUGAGGAGUUCGCACUUCUCCAAGGGUACGUAAAAUACCUGCGGCGAUGUUUCGUGCCGAUCUCGGAGCGGGUGGCGUUCCACGUCCUGUUCCCGGGGAGCCGGAUGCCGAGCAACUCUUCGGCGGCGCCCCGGACGGAGGGCUGGACUGCCUGCGGCCGGAGAAGGAGCUGGCGCGGCUGCUCAAGUGGCGCUCGGCGGAGCUCAAGUCCUGGCGGAUGCGCAACCCCUACCCGCAGAACAUCCUCCGGAACCUGGCGCGCAAGAACUGCCACACUGACUACGUCUUCCUCCUGGACGUGGACGUGAUCCCAAGCAGGGACCUGGCCCAGGGCCUCGACGCCUUCCUGAGGCGGAGCCCGCGGUGUCCGAGGUGCGCCUACGUCGUGCCCACCUACGAGAUCGACAACCGCGCCCACUUCCCCAAGAACAAACCCGACCUCGUCCGCCUCGUCCGCAAGGGGCUCGCCCAGCCUUUCCACCAUAAGAUCUUCAUCUAUAACCAGUAUGCCACUAAUUUCUCCAGGUAAGAGUCUAGGAGGCAGCUCGCCGAAGAGGGUUAGAGCCAGUGUUCGAAACUCACAGGCGCCAACGCGCCAAAUGCGCCUCAAAAAAUCGGCCAUGGCGCCUAAAAAUGAGGGCUCCGCGCCAACGUGGCCCUUAAAAAUUGCCCCCUAAAAUCUGGAGUUUCACAGGAGGUCACAUAAAGAAAGAAAAACAAAUCUAUUUGAAUUGAAAAAACUCAGAAUUUUCAGCACUACAAGUGAAAGCUUGCUUUUUCUAUUCUUCACGAUUUCAUUCUCAGUGCUUUUGUCUUCCCCAAGUUACAGCUACUCACUAGUUCUGUUACGAAAACAUCUUGCGUCUAACUUUUCACUAAAUGCGCCGUCAUAUAUAGGCAAAAAGUCAAUUUGGGCCCUAAAAGAUCUUCAAUGGCGCCUAAAAAUCGGGCUUGAUGCGCCAUUUGGCUCCUAAAACUCAAAGGUGAGUUUCGAACACUGGUUAGAGCGAAGGCUAUAUUAGAGGGGCUAGCGGGCCGAUUACUGAAAUUGAUAGACGAGGCGAUAGACAAACAAGACGUAGGGAGUAUGGAGCUAUCUCAUUGGAUGAAAUGGGUGGUUCCUAUAGACUAAGAGAGAAAAUGAUGGACUAACUAUCGGGUCCCUCGUGGGUUGCCGUUACUCCUCGGCAUUGUUAGCCUAUUACCUGCCUCCUUUGUCCAUUGCAACCACCCGCUUCCGCCAAUGGGAUCCCUUCAUAUCUCUUUUGUCUUCUUUGUCUAUAGCUUUGUCUAUUAAUUUCAAUAAUCGGCCCGCUGGAGGAUAAAGCGCAUAAGUGCUGUUUUUGCUAUUUCGAAAAUAGGUGUUUGAAGUUUCGAAUUACAUAAAUCCUUCCAUCGGAAAGAAAGUUCAAACUAAUUUUUUGAACCGGGGGCCUAAAAAUGGUACUAAAAUUCCGAUAGACAGUGAGGUAAAAUGAGGUUUUUUCAACUAGGAAUAUCACAAACUUUACUUGAAUGACAUUGUGAAACAUGUUUACACGCACGUUUAUCUGUUUUUAUCUGUGUGCAUUUGUCCAAUUUAAAUGACAUGAAGGUAUGCUUUUCCUUAUUAAAGCAUCCAAAAUUGACAAAAUCCUCCUCAGUCGCGUUGGGUUUCUUUUCAGUCUUGCCGGGAAGUUAGGUCCAGAGCGGAUUCAUAAGAAUAGAAUUUUACAGAGUUGGAACCCUGCUAUAAACUUCUCGCCGAGUCUGGAGAUUUAAAAAAAAAAAAUCAACGUGACUGAGCGUUUUGUCAAUUUAGGAUGGCUACAUCCGAGGAAAAUACCUCCGUUUCACU